GAUGAACGCUGGCGGCGUGCCUAAUACAUGCAAGUAGAGCGAUGAGACGAGGAGCUUGCUCCUCUUACAUGAGCUGCGAACGGGUGAGUAACACGUAGGUAACCUGCCUUUAAGCCGGGGAUAACUUCUGGAAACGGGAGCUAAUACCGCAUAAUAUAUGAAGACACAUGUUUCAUUAUUGAAAGGCGGUUUUGCUCUACCUUAUGGUGGACCCGCGGCGUAUUAGCUAGUUGGUAAGGUAAAGGCUUACCUAGGCAACGAUGCGUAGCCGACCUGAGAGGGUGAUCGGCCACACUGGAACUGAGACACGGCCCAGACUCCUACGGGAGGCAGCAGUAGGGAAUCUUCCGCAAUGGGCGAAAGCCUGACGGAGCAACGCCGCGUGAGUGAUGAAGGUCUUCGGAUCGUAAAACUCUGUUAUUAGGGAAGAACAAAUGUGUAAGUAAAUAUGCACGUCUGUACGGUACCUAAUCAGAAAGGGACGGCUAACUACGUU
rnacentral:rRNA from 1 species